AUCUGGAAUGAAAAUCAAAAAGAAAAUAUUUAAAUAAACCUGGCAACAGCUGGCUUUGUGCUUUGAGUUGAUAAAAGCUGAUCUUGUGGCGAUGGAUAGAAUCAUAUAAAUGACUUAAACUAUUAUGAGCAUAUAGAUUAUAAUGAUAAGUUUGUGUUUUUUACCCAAAAUAUGAUGUUUUUUGCCUCUUUGCCAGAGUAUAUUGUUCACAUGCUGCAUUUACUUGAGUACUACUUCUGCAUCUUUUCUCUACACCACUGGGAAUUCAACCUGAAAUGUAAGACUAAGCCUCAGGAUACAGGUCUGAAUGGAGUUUAACAGCAGGUUUGGCAGAGUAUCCUGUUACAGAAGAGGCGUCACCAACAGACGCUCGACUCUACAGUACGUUCAGAGGUGGAAGGAGUACUCAAGUAAAAGUACCACUGAUGGCUUUUAGAUAACAUCACAAAAUAGGCGUAAAGUAUUGAGAUGUAGCAGUUGUCUCUGGAUGCCCAAACGUCUCUGGAAGGAACAAUGCAGCGAUUGCCGAAGCCACUGACACUGACCCCAGAAAAAAAUAGGGCAGGAACUUAAAACAGACGCCUGAAAGAGAAACAUUAUCGCAUAGUGAAUGUGUGAAUGUGUAUGAGUGUGUGAGAGUGUGGAAUUUGUUAUUUGUUAUUAUUAUUAUCAUUAUCUUUAUUGUAUUUUAUUUAUUUAUUUUAUUAUUAUUAUUAUUAUUAUUUUUUGGUUAUAUGUUGACCUGUGUUAACGUGGUCAGCUGUUCAGAUGGAAUUUUUAUUGUCUGAAAAUUAAUAAAAAUACUUGGAAGAAAGAGAAACAUUAUUAUAGUUGUGCAUUCUUCAGACAGCAGUGGCUCAGUGAGUAACGCGGUGGAAAUUUUGACACUAAACAUCCUCUGAUCAUGCGGUAUAAUCAAAUUCACAUUCCAGAUUUGUGCAACUAAUAAUCUGAAAAUGAGAAAAACUGUGUCAUGUGUUCUCUAUCUGCAGGUUAUGGCUCUGGCAACAAAAGUUCAGUCUGAUUGUAACCCAGGCUAUACACUUGAAAUUUAGAAACUUGAUCUGGCUUGAUGUUUAGUCCUUACUGUUGGUACUAUAAACUUAAAUAAACUCUUCUAUAGUUGUUUUUUUUCUACAGAUGAACUUGCUUGGAUGAACAUGUUAUUAUCAUGUCCCAGAGAGUUUCAGCAUGUCGUGUGUUGUCAAUCAUGUCUAUGUUGUGUCAUUUUUAUGCUGUCAAUCAUAGUAGACAGGUUAUUUUUAUUUUUAUCAAUUUAUUUAUUUAACAGGGACAGUGCAUAUUAAUGAACAUCUACAACACUGCAGUAUAAAUAUGCCAGAUUAUAGCAAGAAUGCUCAUUUCAUCUGUAGUCCCUCGGCAGGUAACACCACAAAUUUAACAGAGAAAAAACAAUAACAAGUGACAAGUGUCAGUUCUAAACUAAAAGCGUCCACAAGUCUGGUUUUCCUUUAGUCGCUGUUUCAAGUGGGAUUUGAAAGCGGCAAGCAUUGGAGUUUCUCUUAUUGAUAGUGGGAGACUGUUCCAAAAUUUAGUGCCUCUGACUAAGACACACUGGGAGCUCACAGUUCCCCCGGGCCGUGACUCUAGUUCCCUCUGACAGUCUUUGCUUUAAUAAAAUCCUGUAACGGAGGGGGGUCAAAUUAAGCAGGGUGUACUUAUCUAAAAUAGUGCAGUGGUGAAAUGAGAGUGGUUUCUUGUCCAAUAUUUUUAUAGCUUUUUAAAAAGUGAUUCAAUGGGUUUGAGUUUUGUGCCAGCAGCAAGUGAUCAUGUGGUUCUGCAGUACUCUAUAUGAGACAGAAUCAUGGAGUGUAAAAACAUCCGUGCCGAAUAUAGAGUCAUAAAAGGUCUUACUUGUCUAAAAUUCUGUUAAAAAAGUUAAAAUGAACAGUUUUUGUAAGGCGCUUAAUGUGUUUCUUAAAUGUCAAUGUCAGGUCCAACGUCAGUCCCAAGUAUUUAAACUCUUUGACGAGGCUGAGUUCCACCCCGUCCAGAAAGUUCAGUUGUUUUUUUACUGAACAUUCUGCAGACAUUUUUUUUUUAUGUUGAGUUGCAAGCAUGAGUUCUUGACCCACUUUUGAACUUGAGUUAUGGCUGAUGUUCACUUUUCUGAAGCUUCUUGAACAGUAUAAUAGGUUUAAUAUCUCAUUAAAAUAUAUUAGAAUCACAUCAUUUCACUUUACUUACAACUGGGUCAUUCCACGCCAUUUCAACAAAUGGCCCACGCACUUCGAUCUCAAAAAUAUUUGAAAAAAUGACCUAAUAGUCCCUUACUAUCAUGUACCAACCCUGUGAAGUUUUAGUAAUUUUCGAUCAAUACUUUUUAAGUUACAGCUCAUUUAGUGAGGGGAGUAUGUGUCCAUUUACAGGCCCAAAAUGCAUUUUUUCUCGGUUGUUUUCACAGGUCAAUAUCUCCAUAAGUAUCACACAUAGAGGGCUGACUUUUUGUAGGCUUGUUCUCCUCUACUCUGUGUUCAAAUAACAUCUAUCAAAAGUUUGGUAUCUCAACUCAUUGUCAUUUUAUAUGAACUUAAA